rnacentral:rRNA from 1 species
GGUCCUACGGGGGGCAGCAGUGAGGAAUAUUGGUCAAUGGCCGGAAGGCUGAACCAGCCAAGCCGCGUGAAGGACGAAGGUGCCAAGCAUUGUAAACUUCUUUUGUCGGGGAACAAAGGCGGAGACGCGUCUCCGGAUGAGUGUACCCGAAGAAAAAGCAUCGGCUAACUCCGUGCCAGCAGCCGCGGUAAUACGGAGGAUGCGAGCGUUAUCCGGAUUUAUUGGGUUUAAAGGGUGCGCAGGCGGGAGAUCAAGUCAGCGGUAAACUGUCGGGGCUCAACCCCUGCCGGCCG